rnacentral:rRNA from 1 species
UACGGGGGGGGCAAGCGUUGUUCGGAAUUACUGGGCGUAAAGGGCUUGUAGGUGGCCAACUAAGUCAGACGUGAAAUCCCUCAGCUUAACUGGGGAACUGCGUCUGAUACUGGAUGGCUUGAGUUUGGGAGAGGGAUGCGGAAUUCCAGGUGUAGCGGUGAAAUGCGCAGAUAUCAGGAGGAACACCGGUGGCGAAGGCGGGUCUCUGGGCCGAUACUGACGCUGAGGAGCGAAAGCGUGGGGAGCGAACAGG